UACAGGGGGGGCAAGCGUUGUUCGGAAUUACUGGGCGUAAAGGGUCUGUAGGUGGCCAACUAAGUCAGACGUGAAAUCCCUCAGCUUAACUGGGGAACUGCGUCUGAUACUGGAUGGCUUGGGUGUGGGAGAGGAAUGCGGAAUUCCAGGUGUAGCGGUGAAAUGCGUAGAUAUCUGGAGGAACACCGGUGGCGAAGGCGGCAUUCUGGACCAUAACUGACGCUGAGGCGCGAAAGCUAGGGGAGCGAACGGG
rnacentral:rRNA from 1 species